GCGGAAGUAGCUCAGUUGGUAGAGCAUAACCUUGCCAAGGGUAGGGGCGCGGGUUCGAGUCCCGUCUUCCGCU
rnacentral:tRNA from 1 species